rnacentral:rRNA from 1 species
CAGCCGCCGCGGGAAUACGUAGGUGGCAAGCGUUGUCCGGAAUUAUUGGGCGUAAAGGGCUCGCAGGCGGUUUCUUAAGUCUGAUGUGAAAGCCCCCGGCUCAACCGGGGAGGGUCAUUGGAAACUGAGAAACUUGAGUGCAGAAGAGGAGAGUGGAAUUCCACGUGUAGCGGUGAAAUGCGUAGAGAUGUGGAGGAACACCAGUGGCGAAGGCGACUCUCUGGUCUGUAACUGACGCUGAGGAGCGAAAGCGUGGGGAGCGAACAGGAUUAGAUACCCCCGUAGUCCCUGUCUCUUAUAC